rnacentral:tRNA from 1 species
GCCCAGAUACGCCAACUGGCAGAGCGACUCGGCUUAAACCCGAGUGUUUACGGGUUCGAAUCCCAUUCUGGGUA